GAUGUACAUGUCUGACGUUGUGUUUCUUUUAUAGCUUGGAUAUCUGGCAUCAAUCUGGCAUUCACCGAUAGCGACGGAUACAAAAGAAAGGCUUUUUUCUAUCGCAUUCUAAUUUAGAGGUGGUAUGCGGAACUAUUUUGAGAAUUCCAGACGUAAAAGUUUCUCUUUAGGACGACAAUACUCUGUAUUCAGUGAGAGAGUUCGAUCUGUUGUCGACUAUUAAGGCCUAGUAAAACUGUUAACACCUACAGCAACAAUUAAUCGAUUUGAAGCUUUCGCUUAUCCGAUACCAACAAACUAUAAAAAAGACAGCACGUGGUGAUCUAUUUACAUGAUAUCUAUCCCUCCAUCCAUCCAUCCAUCCAUCCAUCCAUCCAUUAGCUCAUCCAACCGUCCAUUUAUCCGUCCAUCCUUUCAUCCAUCCUUCCGUCCAUCUUUACAUCCAUCCAUCCAUCCUUCCGUACAGUUAAAUAGCUUAGUAACAAGUAGGAAUCAUUCAACUGAGCAUUGCUAUCCGAUGCGGCUUACUCGGUAAGCUUGAGUCUUUCCGACUACAACUUGCUUGCAUCGAAGGGGCAUACAUUUACUGCGCAUUAGAAGAAUACCUCCGCGAUUAGUUUAUCCCAAAAGAACAACCGUUUCUUCGACUUAAUUUUCACAGCUUGUCAGACAAGUGGGAAACAUGUACAGAUGACGAAAGAAAUAUAUUUUAUCAUUUUUACUUUAUUUUCAUUUAUUUAUGAAAAUCAAAGUAUAAGAAUUAUAUCCUGUUGACAAGAAUACCCCAAUAAUAUAAAAAUAUAUUAAGUUAAAAGAACAUUUGAGCGUAGACUGGAGUAUUGUGUGCAAAAAAUAAGGUGAACUUGUGAACCUUCCUGAUCAGUUUAUAUCCUGUAUAAUAGAUUAUUAUUAAGAAUUUAGCCAGAGAAAUAAAUUCGAACAGCGAAGUCUUAAGAAGCACUAGCAUUUAAAGCUAUCGGCUUUAUGAAAACCUCUACUGCACUUUAGAUUCGAACCCACGGCCAUUGAGAGCUGCUAGUCGAGAUUCUUUACCUUCGGCCAUUCAGGCGGAGUCUGUAGAAUACAACGUCAUUAGGAAUAGAAGAGAAACAUGCAAGAAUACUAUAGCCGGCCAAAGCCGCCCAUUACGCACUCUACACCUCACCUAAUAUAGUCACCAUAUCAUUCUCAACUACUUCUGGCUCUUACACAAACUUGUGCACAAGCUUAAUAGAUCAUGUACCGCAAAUGGUGUAGGGUAUUGAAAGUAGAAACGCUUUAAACAAACAAACGGUUGGGUUUGACCUACAAAUACAAGAAAACUUGAAGUUUUAAUCAACUGCUCAAGUAAAUGGUCUCAGAAGCAAUCCCGCCAAGCUGGCGAGCUAAACUUGUAAAAUCUUUAUAGUGUCAUAAGUGGAAAUGUAAAGUUUUUAGAUUCUCCAAUAAUUUGGGAUUGACGAGAUCUACUCAAUUCUCCUCUUCAAAUGAGUAUAAUUUUCUUACUUCUUCGUUAUUCCUCUUAAUACGCGAUUUUGCUCAAACCCUUUAGUCGAAAAACUUUUAUGUUACCUUUGAGUACAAUUCUAAAAAUGUAAAAUUAAUUGAAUGCAAUGCAAGUCGUUGUUAUUUAUUAAGCACACAAUACGCCCAGUUAAUGCAUUAUAGGUCAAUGGUUAAAGUUUUGCGCGUUCGCACUCUCCACGCACAAGUGUGGCCAUAGAAAUCAAAUGAUUAGAGAGUAACAGUGGAACGUACAUAUUUAACACAAGAUUACAACGAACCGCGCUAUUAUUUACUUACGCUCAUUAUUAAAAUGUGUCGUUGAGUGAAGAGAUGCACACGUAUAUGUACGUCCCAGUGGGUCGAUAGCAAAUUUCGAAUAAACUAUGAUUACCUCCGGGGUUCAUUUACUAUUUUUGAGAUUAUGUAGUAGUAGUGGUACGUCGCGUAGUCGCUAUGGUAGGAAUGCAGGGAAAUUUCGAGAAGAAGGUUCAACCGCCCGACCUUUGCUGAGAUUAUCGAAAGCUCAUUUUUCUUAAGAACAUUAUGCUUAUAGAGGAUCAAAUCAUUAAAAGGAAAAGUGGAAAUUUCCAAGUGAGGUCGCAGAGUUCGAUUUUUACGAGCUUUAAAUUCAUUUUGCUAAGCACAGCAAAUCAGGCAUUAAAGACAUGUGCCUAUGCAACAGCAAUUUCUGUGUAAAAAAAUCCGCGUUUAUUAUGUGAAGAUGGUAAAAAAUAUUCAACACCAGGUAUUGCCCCCAUCACUGGCUGUACAUGUUUCCGACCUCUUUGAAAAUUUUUUGGAUGUCAUACCAAACAAAGUGUUGCUCUUUUAUGACAAACAAAUCCUCAAGUCUUGCCGCACAGUUUCGUAAGAGGUGAAGGACGGCUCCUCAAGCGUGUGUCACAUCGUUGCGAACAAUUGGUCAGCAGAGGCGGCUCAAGUCUGGUGAGUGCUUCCAGUGUGCCGUGGAUGGGUUGGGAAUUUGGAUGGACGGCCGGACGGACGGACGGGUGAUGUUUAUUAUUGGUUGGCGAUUAUAUUAAAGCCUCUCUGAUCAAUCGGACUGACGAAGUUUGUAAACCAUUAUCUUUCGCUAAGGCUAGUCACAUAAGCGAUCAACCCUUAUGGUCUCUGUGAAUUUGUUUACAUUUUAUGUCAUUGACCUGUAGCCAACAUAAGCGUAAACAACGUUGGAAGUGUAGUUACGCAAAAAGUUUGCAAAAUAAAUGCUUAAAUAAGAAUACAUGCAGAACUUAAUUAAGUGCUAAAAAGAGGUUUACUCGACGUUUUUUGCAGUUUCUUUGCAGAGACUUUAUCCCGUAAGGGUAAAUGAAAGAAAAGUAUUUGGACUCUAGGCGCAUAAGAGAGCAUUUGUCUAUGUUCAACCUCGCACUUGCCACUAACAUGUUUCAGGCUAAACGCAAGUACUAUAGAAAAUGGUUUUUGGUAGGGUUAGCUCAACUGUCUUGAUAGAGAAAGAAUUUGGAAUUUUAUUAAUAUGCCUCGAUAAAAAUGGAUGACAAAUAAUAGUUUGGUGUGCGUGUUUUUUUUUUUUUUUUUUCUUAAUAUGACCCAUCAUCCAAGGGAUGUAUUGUAAAAAUUUGGUAAUGAGAGAGAAGUGGAGAAAGAGUAAGGAAAGUUGAAGAGGUUAUGAAACGACCGCAGCCUUGUGCUUGAAUACACAGUCAGUAAGUAUUGUACCUUUGCCGUUUGGGGCCUUAUUAUAGUUACGCCUCGAAUAUGGUAAAUUUGCUCUGCGGUUUGCACUGCAGACAUUAGAUCGACGAACAUGCCUAAAUCGGCUUAGAAGAUUUGAUGCCAAUCAACAACACAUAUAUUCUUUGUGGGUUACGUGAUGCCCCUCAUCAUUCAGUGAUGGGUAUAAAGAGAAUGAAAAAAGUUCGAGAUGGUCCGCCACUGUUUACACGCAGCGAAUUACAAUCACAGAAAACUUCGCACAUUUUUCAGUUGACAAGAGCCGCACGUUCCGCAUACAAACACCUUCGCGCUGAACAAAAUAAAUAGAAGUCUGAGACGUUGACCUGAAAUGCACGGCAGACAGUGAUAAGAUAUUUGUUCGAUGAAAAUUUGCACAAUUUUACUACAAAAGAAAAAUUCAUUUGAUGUUAUUAGUUAUUAACGGACUAUCCGUCCGUCAAUCA